AACUAGGAUAUGUUUUUCAGUAUCCAUUCAUUCAUUAAGAGGUUGAUUAGGCUCCAUUUCAUAUUUUAUCCCAUUUAAGUUUUAGCAUUUUAAGGCAAAAUGUUAUUAUUAUUUAGAUUUGGAAAUCUUUCUCAAAUUAUUCAGCAUAUUAUUUUUCCAUUAACUUCUCUGAUGCACAGAAGAAAAUCGAACAAGUUCUUUUUUUUUUCAAACAAGUUCUUAAUU
rnacentral:lncRNA from 1 species